rfam:Pelodiscus sinensis unplaced genomic scaffold scaffold645, whole genome shotgun sequence.
AAUGAGUCUAACAAAGGCUAAGAUCAAGUGUAGUGUCUGUUCUUAUCGGUUUAACUGCUGGUACGUUCUCCAUGUGAGCACUGUGUUUUAAUGUUAGGCAUUUUACUGGCUUUUGAAAAUCCCACUUGUAAGCAGUUUGCUCUUGUAAAUUUAUA